rnacentral:rRNA from 1 species
GGGGGGGACUUGCUUACCAUAGCAGUCGACGGUGAACACGGAGCUUGCUCUGUGGGAUCAGUGGCGAACGGGUGAGUAACACGUGAGCAACCUGCCCCUGACUCUGGGAUAAGCGCUGGAAACGGCGUCUAAUACUGGAUAUGUGACGUGAUCGCAUGGUCUGCGUCUGGAAAGAAUUUCGGUUGGGGAUGGGCUCGCGGCCUAUCAGCUUGUUGGUGAGGUAAUGGCUCACCAAGGCGUCGACGGGUAGCCGGCCUGAGAGGGUGACCGGCCACACUGGGACUGAGACACGGCCCAGACUCCUACGGGAGGCAGCAGUGGGGAAUAUUGCACAAUGGGCGCAAGCCUGAUGCAGCAACGCCGCGUGAGGGAUGACGGCCUUCGGGUUGUAAACCUCUUUUAGCAGGGAAGAAGCGAAAGUGACGGUACCUGCAGAAAAAGCGCCGGCUAACUACGUGCCAGCAGCCGCGGUAAUACGUAGGGCGCAAGCGUUAUCCGGAAUUAUUGGGCGUAAAGAGCUCGUAGGCGGUUUGUCGCGUCUGCUGUGAAAUCCGGAGGCUCAACCUCCGGCCUGCAGUGGGUACGGGCAGACUAGAGUGCGGUAGGGGAGAUUGGAAUUCCUGGUGUAGCGGUGGAAUGCGCAGAUAUCAGGAGGAACACCGAUGGCGAAGGCAGAUCUCUGGGCCGUAACUGACGCUGAGGAGCGAAAGGGUGGGGAGCAAACAGGCUUAGAUACCCUGGUAGACCCCCCGCAAACGUUGGGAACUACUUGUUUUCUUUUUCUACCAAUUUC